rnacentral:lncRNA from 1 species
CAGCCUGCAAACAUUACAUGUAGUACCUCAUACUCUUCACAUCACUUCUACACCAUCUGUGCUGGUCAGUUUAAUGUGUCAACUUGGCUAGGCUCUAGCACCUAGUUAUUCCAUCAAGCACUAAUGCAGGUGCUGCUGUGACGGUAUUAUAGUUAUCAUGGGUUAAUGUCUACAGUCGGGGACUUUAAGUAAGGAUUGUCCUUGAUAUUCUGGGGACCUCAUCCAAUCAGUAGAAAGACCUCAACAGCAAAACUGAGGUUCACUGAGGAAAAUAAAAUUUUGCCCCCGGUCUCGUCCACAGCAUCAGCUCCUGCCUGCAGACCUCUAGUCUGUCAGCCUGCCCUGCAGAUUUCAGCCUUACUAGGCCGGACUCCACAGUCCCACAGCCAAUUCCUUAAAAUAUACAUAUUUAAAUUCCUGAUUCUGUUUAUCUGGUAUAACCCCUACCAAUGCACCGUAUAAAUUUAUGGAGGGUGCAGAGAGGAUUGUGGUGGAGGAAGUGCAGUUCUACUACAGCAAAAGUUGAGUUAGAAAUUCCUGCCGCAGUUGGAUAUGGGUUGAGUUGGGUCAAGGGUGGCAAUCAAUAAGGUUAAUAAAGCAUAAUUUGCUAAUAACAUAUCUAGAAAAGAACUUGUAUCCAGAAUAUGUAAAUACUCAAUAAUAAGUUCAAUAAUAAAACACAAACAAUUCAAAUUUUAAAAUGGGCAAAAGAUUUGAAAUCUUCACCAAAGAAAAUAUAAUGCAUUCUGCUAAGUGAGAGAAGCAAGACUCAAAAGGCUACGUGCUAUAAGACUCCAUUUAUGGGACAUGCUAGAAAAGACAAAACUAUAGGAAAAGAAAACAGAUUAUUAGUUGCAAAGGACUGAGGGUGAAGAGAGGUU